rnacentral:lncRNA from 11 species
AGAAAAUAGGUGGAAAAGAAAUCAUUGCCUAAAUUUCUGAGGACUUAACAACUCAAGAACCAGCCAUUUAAAAAUAUAGUAACUCUUUAGAAGUCUGAAGGAAACAUUCUUCUAUAUCUCAAUAUAUCUCCUACUCUAUUUGCAAGUCACAAGGGAAGUUUAACUGCUUUAUCUGAAAUCCCAAACUAGAUUUUUUAAAUAGGGUUUUCAUUUGAUUGUUGCAAGACUUCCUAAUACGAAGAUUUUUUUUAAACACACACACACACACACACAAAUUACCAUUUCCAUGGAAGUGAUGCAAACUUCCUCUAGCACUUCCAUUUAUUCAGCCAUGGCAAGAUUUAAAAGACAAGAGGAAAUUAAAA